CUUCCCGGAAGUGCCCUGCUGGUGCUGGGAGUAGGGCGCAAGAUGUCGGCGGAUGCAGCUCCGAGGAGGUAGGCAGUGGGAGCCGGCGUUCAGUCCGGCCCGUGCCAACAGUGGUUCCUCUCUCCCCCGUAGUUCGAGGAGACCACGCGCUGCCCCUCUGGCACGAUCGUGGAUGAACCCCCUGGCAACUGAAAUGGGAAAGGCAGCGCCCCCGACUCUGGGGACUGGACCGAAGUCCACGGUAGUGACAGCUGCCAGACCCUGAGGAGAGGACGAGAAGACCCGAGGCCUCUGCUACGAACACUGGCAGCCGAUGGAAAAUUCAGACGGAUUUGGGACAGUAUGCAGAGUUCUCCAAGCGACAGAUUAACAGAGGCUCUUGAAGAAUAACUGCGUAAUCACGUGUUCUGCUCAAAAGAAGGCCUGAAUGCCCAGUGCCUUAUUUGGCUUUCAGGGUUGGUGAAAGAAAAAGCAAAGUAGAUGCUUUCUAAUGCUAAGUCAUUUAAUG
rnacentral:lncRNA from 10 species